AGCUUUGCGCAGUGGCGAAAUCGUAACCAACGAGGUACAACCGAGGUGCGAUUAUUGCUAGUUGAAAACUAAUAGCAU
rnacentral:snRNA from 1 species